GGAGGAGGGAGGGAGUUGAUUUGAGGGAUUAGCUGAUGGAGGAAGGAGCUUAUUUGAUGAAGGAAGGGGGGUUAUUUGAUGGCGGAAGGAGGGUAUUUGAUGAAGAGAGUUAUUUGAUGAAAGGAGGAGGUUAUUUGAUGAAGGGAGGAGGUUAUUUGAUGGAGGAAGGGGGUUAUUUGAUGAAGGGAGGGGGUUAUUUGAUGAAGGGAGGAGGGUAUUUGAUGGAGGGAGGAGGUUAUUUGAUGAAGGAAGGAGGUUAUUUGAUGAAGGAAGGAAGGAAGGUUAUUUGAUGGAAGAAGAUGGGUUAUUUGAUGGAGGAAGGGGGUUAUUUGAUGAAGGGAGGAGGUUAUUUGAUGGAGGGAGGAGGUUAUUUGAUGGAGGGAGGAGGUUAUUUGAUGGAGGGAGGAGGGUAUUUGAUGAAGAGAGUUAUUUGAUGGAAGAAGAGGGAUUAUUUG